CAUCUGAUGAAGAAGUGGGACAGCCAUUACAGUGGGGCAGGCUGCAUGGAAGAUAAAGUGAAGUACUGGUUGCCACCUUCUGACACUCAUCUAACAUAACAUGAGGAAGACAAAGGUUUUUGAUUAAUUUGGGAAAGAAGAAUUCAGCAUAUGCAGAAAUGUGUAGAGGAAAAAUAAAACACAGAAAGAAGAGUUAGGUCCUGGAAGCAGUUAUGACUUCAGCUAAUAUAGGAAGCAAGCAUGAUGCAGAUGCCAAGUUCAUCAUAGCCCAAGUGCUAUGGCAGCACCACCAGUAUGAUUUCGGAAUGAAGACCUCAGAAGAACUGUCUGACUCAUUGAAGUCUUGUCCCUUUCCAAAGCAGAUGAUUCAUGCCUUCCUCAUAUGAGGAUGUUACCAGAAUAAAAUAAAAUAAAAUAAA